rnacentral:rRNA from 1 species
GUUUGAUCCUGGCUCAGGAUGAACGCUGGCGGCGUGCUUAACACAUGCAAGUCGAACGAUGAAGCCCAGCUUGCUGGGUGGAUUAGUGGCGAACGGGUGAGUAACACGUGAGUAACCUGCCCUUGACUCUGGGAUAAGCCUGGGAAACUGGGUCUAAUACCGGAUAGGAACGUCCACCGCAUGGUGGUUGUUGGAAAGAUUUAUCGGUCAUGGAUGGACUCGCGGCCUAUCAGCUUGUUGGUGAGGUAAUGGCUCACCAAGGCGACGACGGGUAGCCGGCCUGAGAGGGUGACCGGCCACACUGGGACUGAGACACGGCCCAGACUCCUACGGGAGGCAGCAGUGGGGAAUAUUGCACAAUGGGCGAAAGCCUGAUGCAGCGACGCCGCGUGAGGGAUGACGGCCUUCGGGUUGUAAACCUCUUUCAGUAGGGAAGAAGCGAAAGUGACGGUACCUGCAGAAGAAGCACCGGCUAACUACGUGCCAGCAGCCGCGGUAAUACGUAGGGUGCGAGCGUUAUCCGGAAUUAUUGGGCGUAAAGAGCUCGUAGGCGGUUUGUCGCGUCUGUCGUGAAAGUCCGGGGCUUAACCCCGGAUCUGCGGUGGGUACGGGCAGACUAGAGUGCAGUAGGGGAGACUGGAAUUCCUGGUGUAGCGGUGGAAUGCGCAGAUAUCAGGAGGAACACCGAUGGCGAAGGCAGGUCUCUGGGCUGUAACUGACGCUGAGGAGCGAAAGCAUGGGGAGCGAACAGGAUUAGAUACCCUGGUAGUCCAUGCCGUAAACGUUGGGCACUAGGUGUGGGGACCAUUCCACGGUUUCCGCGCCGCAGCUAACGCAUUAAGUGCCCCGCCUGGGGAGUACGGCCGCAAGGCUAAAACUCAAAGGAAUUGACGGGGGCCCGCACAAGCGGCGGAGCAUGCGGAUUAAUUCGAUGCAACGCGAAGAACCUUACCAAGGCUUGACAUGUUCUCGAUCGCCGUAGAGAUACGGUUUCCCCUUUGGGGCGGGAUCACAGGUGGUGCAUGGUUGUCGUCAGCUCGUGUCGUGAGAUG